UGGCGAAGUGGUUACGUGCUUGGCUGCUAACUGAUAGGUUGGUGGUUCAAACCCACC
rnacentral:tRNA from 1 species